GACUGAUGGCGCGGACCGCGGAGUGAUUUUCGGAGCUUGAGUUAACCUACUUACUUAUGUUGUGAUUUGAAUGCAGUUUAUAUGCCAGUGUAUGUAGGCAGAGAUCGGCGGAGUGCGAUUCCAAUCUCGAUUUGUGCAAGUGACAGGAAUGUUAGAAGUUUGUUUUCACAAUGUCUAAGCGAAACAGCGACUAUGUGGUUACGGAGCACCGGGAUUUACAGGCUAACACCAUGGCUAUGGACGCGACCGGCAACUACGUUCUGUUAGCCGGGCGUAGAUGCUUUGCGGUGAAACAACUGGACGAAGACGUUAACACGGUGAAGAAGUUCCAGCGGCAGAGUAAAUACGAAGUUAGCUCUGCAGAAUGGAAUCCAUCUGACCUGAACUGCCAUUUGUGCGCAAUUUCUAGCAAUACACGAAUCGAGAUACUGGAUCUCAAUGGGGCGGGAGGGUACGAGGUACAAACUAUCCAGAGCCUGAAGGCACACACGCGCGUGGUCAGUGAUCUAAACUGGCACCCCAAGGAGCCUGAUAUCCUUGCCUCUUGCAGUAUCGACACGUUUAUACAUAUCUGGGACAUACGGGAUCAGAGGAAGCCGUGUUUGUCUCUGUCCGCAGUUGCAGGAUCGUCCCAAGUACGUUGGAAUCCGUUGUUAUCUCACACUUUGGCCACUGCGCAUGACGGUGAUAUCAAGAUAUGGGACCAGCGGAAGGCGAACAGUCCUGUGCAAUACAUAACAGCUCACUUGACGAAAAUACACGGCUUAGACUGGUGUCCGUUUCAACAAAAUCAACUGGCAACAUCGAGCCAGGACUGCACCGUCAAGAUCUUCGACAUCGUCAAUCCGCGCAGGGCUGAGAAUAUCUUGACGACAAAUUCGCCUGUGUGGAGAGCGAGAUACACGCCUUUUGGAGAAGGUUUGGUGACGAUAGUAGUGCCGCAAUUGCGACGGGGGGAGAACAGUCUUCUGCUGUGGAACACAUCAAACCUGAGCGCUCCAAUAUACACAUUCGUGGGGCAUACGGAUGUCGUGCUCGAGUUUCAGUGGCGACAUCAGAAACUAGAGAAUAGCGAAUUUGAACUCGUCACAUGGUCCAAGGAUCAGUGUCUAAGGAUAUUUAAAAUCAACCCUUUUAUAAAAAAGUUGUGCAGUAAUGGCAUGGAAGAUGGCCUAUCGGUUUAUAGCCAGUACUCAGAAGAAAGCAAUUUAAGAACUCUGCAGUCCGUUCAGGAGCUGCAACUCAACAGUUCGCAAAACGAGCCCGAGAUCAAUUACAUAACGACCAAAGUGGACGAGCCAGUGCCGCAAGUUGAGGUUGCCAACCAACCGGAUAACUCCAAGAAGGUCUCGUCACCCACUCAACCAAAGAGUCUGCAGCAGGAAUUCUCCCUGAUAAACAUGAACAUACCAAAUAUAGAGGUGAACGCGAUGGACGCGGCGGAGAGGAGUUGCACGAUAACUGCGUGCACGAAAAAUUACAAUGUGAUACUGAAGGUGAAUUUCCCUGUAAAUUAUCCGUACAGCGCGCAGCCGACAUUCCAGUUCUGCCAGGGCACGUCGAUCGACAACGCGACGAUGAACAAACUGCUGAAGGUCCUCACGCAAACCGCUCAGCAUCGCGUCAGGAAGAACAGGUCAUGCUUGGAGCCGUGUCUCAGGCAGUUGAUCAUAACUUUAGAGCAAACCUGCAAGAAGGACGAAGACGAGAACAGUCACUUGGUGUAUCACAUGCAGAACAAUGGCGACUUCCUCAGCUCGCCCACCAUCUGUGCAAAUUAUCAGGACUCCUAUAUACCAUUUCCCAGAACGUCCGGCGCGAAAUUUUGUUCCGUGGGUAUCCUCGUUUGUUUCGGCCGUCCCUCGUACGCGAGAAAAUCGUUGAUGAAACCGGGAGACGCGACGCCCAGGGCACUGUCCGCCCUAGACAACAGCAUCGGCAACGGCGAAUCCUUCAUGCACAUGUAUCGAAGUCCCUACGUGCCGAGCAACGACAACAUCUCUAUCAGCUCGUACUACUUCCCAGAUCGUCAGAAAAACCUCCGACGCAGUAUGCACGGCACGAAUAGAACGCACGACCGAUCGUACUUCAAGAAUUCUCACCCGAUGGUCAUGAUAUACGAUGUCUCGUCGUUAUUCUUCGUCAACAAGGAGCUCGCCGAGAAGUACACAAUCAACACCGCCGACAUCACGACGAUGUGUCAACAUAACGCAAACGUAGCUGCCACGUUGGAACGGUCCGACCUGGUCCAGACGUGGUGUCUAGCUGGCCUGAUAAUUUCCCAGACGCUUCCCAGUAGCGAGCAGAACUCGUACCAGUCAGGUCAAUCUGCCGACAUCGACGCACCUUGGCCCCUGCAUCCGUGGGGGCAAAACUUAAUUCAUUCCUUAAUACAGCAUUACGCUAAUCAGUCCGACGUUCAAAUGGCCGGUAUGCUGAGCUGCGCGCUUAGCCACCGGUCGGAGAAUACGGAGGCGGUGCAAACCAGACUGAGCAACAGCAAAUCGGUGAACGUCAGUAGGCUUUCCACAGGAAAAUGGUGGUUGAAGCAUCGGACUGGAAGCAUCGCUAUGCCACCAAGUGUGCAGAUUUGUUCGCCGAUCCGUCCGAUUAGGAUGUCGAUACGCAAAUCUUGCAUUAAUCGCUUGAUCAGUCGAUUGAUAAGAAAAGCAAAAACGUAAAAACGAUUGUUGCCCGCAACAAAUCGCAGUUGGUGGUGCGAUAUGUGCUGUUUGUUGUGAUUAAUUACAUACAUACUGUCUCAUACUGACAAACACAACUACGUGAUCUGUGAUGGUAUUAUUCAUAAACAAUAUGAAGGUUUAUAUCUAUACUACUAAUAUUCAUCCUCUGCAGUCGAUAGCCGUUUAACCUGGUGGUUCACCUUAUCACACGAUACACUUAGCGGACACCACGCUGGAAGGAUGGAAUUUUCAGAAUCUCAAGCAGCACCGAUCUAACUCGUGGUCGGAGUCGCUCGACGA
rnacentral:misc_RNA from 1 species